CAGUCGCCGCGGUAAUACGAACCGUGCGAACGUUAUUCGGAAUUACUGGGCUUAAAGCGCGUGUAGGCGGGUCGGCACGUCGGUCGCUGAAAUCCCCCGGCUCAACCGGGGAUGUGGCGCCGAUACGGCCGGCCUGGAGGGGGGUAGGGGGGCCUGGAACCUCCGGUGGAGCGGUGAAAUGCGUUGAGAUCGGAAGGAACGCCCGUGGCGAAAGCGAGGCCCUGGACCCUUUCUGACGCUGAGACGCGAAAGCCAGGGGAGCGAACGGGAUUAGAUACCCCGGUAGUCCCUGUCUCUUAUA
rnacentral:rRNA from 1 species